GGGAGCGCGGAGUGGCGGCGGAUGGCGCGGCGCGCGGCGGCCGCCCACCUGUAGCGCGGCGGGCACCUAACUGCCGCGGGCCUCCCGCCGCUUCUGCGGGGUGACGCCUGCGGGGACUGGGUGGGAAAACGCGGCGGAGGCGGCGCACGUGACGUCGCUCUUCCCGCGGGCGGGCGGGUAGCGGCUCCCGCCUCACCUGGUCUUCGCGGCUCCUGGCAAACCACCAUUCUCCUUCCUGUCUCUGGGAAUUUGACCGCUCUAGGUACCUCGGAUAAGUGGCAUCAUCCAGUGCCUGUCUUGUUGACCGGCUCAUUUCACUUAGGAUAAUAUCUUCAAGGUUCAUCAACAGUGUGAGAUGCAGACAGAAAAUGGCCUUGGAAUCCCUUGAGCAAUAAAUCACUAUUGACAGACUGAAGGUGGUUGGUUUUGGAUGGUGCUCUGAAGACAGCUGCUCUGGGAGGGUGGGACGUUACUCGGUAUCUCUGAGCUUUGGUGUCUUCAAAAUGAGGAAGAUCACAGCCUCAUGAAAAUUACGUGCUGUACAGCUCUGUUGAUCACAUCAGCCAUGGAAACCCCUUCGACUGGGAGGUUCAGGUGGACUCCUGGCCUGAGUGCCAGAUGCUCAUUAUCCGGCCUCAGAAACAGUUUUUGAGUGAGGAGAAGACAAAUUCAUUCCCUGGGAUGAAUAAAAGUUGUCAAAUGGACAAAAUGGACAACUUUUCAAAG